rnacentral:snRNA from 1 species
UUUUAAGAUAUCGCUAAAAUUAAAU